UUAUAGUCUAUAAUUUGUUUGCGUUAAGGAUUGGAGCGGCAUCCUUUUUGUUUUUACAAAAAGAUAUAGUGUAAAGCCUGACCUUUU
rnacentral:sRNA from 1 species